AGUCCACAACAGCUGCAGUUCCAAAGGUUAACCAUCAGUGCUGUAAAGGUUUUGUGCUAUUGCACACUGAACAUCUUUUAAUCGGCAAAUGGUGCUGAAAAUUGCUGCUUGUUUCAGCUCCAAUAAGCAGCACAGUGUUACUCAACAUUAAUGCCACAUUUUAUAAACCCUGCUGUAUAGUGCAGAUUGUUUCAGUAAUAAUUAAAUUAUUUUCCUUGCCUGCAAGAUUUCUUCCCCUCAGUAUGGAAACAAAGCCAAACCUGGGAUUGCAAGGGUUAAUUGGAAAUCCAGUUAGUAUGUACACUUGAAAAAAAAACAAAAAAAAACUUUAUUGAAAGAAUUGAAAAGCCGCACCAAAAAUGCUACAUCUACCAGAAAUACAAAUGGUGCAUUCUUCACUAAAUCCACAUUUGACACUGCUCUGCCAAAAUCCAAC